rnacentral:lncRNA from 7 species
ACAAAAUCUGCUUGCAGGUCCGCAUGUGACAGCCAGAGCUGCAAAGGCAGAGCUGGGCCAUGGUGGGCACUCUCCUGGUAGGAGAGCUUCCAGUGAGCAAGGCGAUAACCUUGCCAAGGGAACGAAUUUUCCUCUGAGGCUCCCAGUGAAGGCCAUGUUUGUCACUUUUGUGCUCUGGGAGGAAUUUGGCCUGGACCAGUGUGCUUGGGGUGAUGAGACCACUCUCUUCUGGAUAGGAAGAGAAGACAGACUCCAAAAAGAUCAAAGAUGUGAUAGAAAAGGAAGUGACAAUUAAAAAAUAGUUCAGCUAUUUCUAAGAAGAAGACUGCAGGAAGACGUGUCAUUUUGCCCCUCUAUGGAGAAGAAACGUGUCCCCUUGCUUUUGAGGGAGGAUACAGAAUGUGGUAAAGCAAUCAUCGUUGGGUCAACGAUGUGCCUUUGUUGUCUCCAGGAUGAAGUGCACAAUUCAGCCACAUCAUGUGAGAACUGGAAAAUCUAAACCCUUAGCUGACGCUGGCAGAUGUGGGCAGCUGAAUUCCCUCAAUAAUCCAUUUGUGCUGUAGGACCUCCAAGCACUUGCUGCCCAGGAAAAUCCAGAGUUGGAGAAGGCUUUUUACAGCCAGUUCUUCUGGUGGCAUCAGGCUGCUGUCACUGUGCUGGGAACAAGGGGAACCUCUACUUUAUGUCCUGGCACUCACCUGUGUGCACGUAGGCAGCGGGAGGCUGGAAGCAAUUACAGCAGAUCACAGAGGAAACAGAGAAGGGUGGAUGCUGCAGGAGCUGGAGAACAAGGGGAGGCAAGGAGCUUGGAUGCAGGGAGUGGACAGGGAAGUCAUGGGAAGAAUUGGAUGUUUCUAGUCCAAUGGCAAGGUUUUACAAUUCUAAAAGAUUAAAUGGAUGUAGAAAUAUCAAAAUUGGGGUUGAUGAGAUCUACGCCUAUCUUCCACGCUGGGACUACCAGCAAUUCCCAGCAGCAGUACUGGAAGUUCUGCAGCUGCUGAAUAACUUGCCUCUAAGACAAAGUGACUCCCAGUGCCCGUGAAUCAGAGACUGGUUUAUGUCGAGGAAUGGAGCAAUUAUAUCCUUCCGAAAACAUUUCCAUUCUUCCCUUUACAUCUCUGGUGUACUCAUUAAUAAAAUAAAUAUGCAGC